rnacentral:rRNA from 1 species
CAGCAGCCGCGGUAAUACGUAGGGUGCGAGCGUUAAUCGGAAUUACUGGGCGUAAAGCGUGCGCAGGCGGUUCGUUAAGACAGAUGUGAAAUCCCCGGGCUUAACCUGGGAACUGCAUUUGUGACUGGCGAGCUAGAGUAUGGCAGAGGGGGGUAGAAUUCCACGUGUAGCAGUGAAAUGCGUAGAGAUGUGGAGGAAUACCGAUGGCGAAGGCAGCCCCCUGGGCCAAUACUGACGCUCAUGCACGAAAGCGUGGGGAGCAAACAGGAUUAGAUACCCGGGUAGUCCCUGUCUCUUAUAC